rnacentral:rRNA from 1 species
GAUGAACGCUGGCGGCGUGCCUAAUACAUGCAAGUCGAGCGAACGGACGAGAAGCUUGCUUUUCUGCUGUUAGCGGCGGACGGGUGAGUAACACGUGGAUAACCUACCUAUAAGACUGGGAUAACUUCGGGAAACCGGAGCUAAUACCGGAUAAUAUUUUGAACCGCAUGGUUCAAAAUUGAAAGACGGUCCUGCCUUCAACUAGAGAUGGAUCCGCGCUGCAUUAGCUAGUUGGCAAGGUAACGGCUUACCAAGGCAACGAUGCAUAACCGACCUGAGAGGGGGAUCGGCCACACUGGACCGGAGCGACGGUCCAGGCUCCAAGGGGAGGAACCGUAAGGGAAUCUUCGGCAUGGGGCGAAGGCUGGACGGAGCAACGCGGCUGGAGUGAGGAGGGUCUUCGGUUGUUAAGACCCGGUGAGUGGGGAGGAACAUAUGUGUAAGUAGCUGUGCGCAUCGUGACGGUACCUAAUCAGAAAGCCACGGCUAACUACGUG